CGUUUAGGGGUAAACCUGAGAAACCCGAAAGGUCGAAGGGAGAAAUUCAAUCGCGUCUCGCGGACGACGUCGGAAGUCAUUGCGACGGCGAUACGUUCGCGCGUAUCGUUCGCGCGUUUCGUUCGACGAGUCGAUAGCGAACGCGUGCACUUUUCUCCUGGUAGGACGUCGCGAUCCGUUGGGUGUCGAUCUACGAUUCGCGGUGGAGCCCGUUGGCGGCGUUUCGGCGCUCGUCGACGGACCCGCGAUAUCCGAUCGACUCUCCCGACGGUACACGAACGGUUGGGGGCCGCUUUUCAGCGUCCGACCGAUGGCAAGCGCGCCGCGGACUGUCGGCGAUCGGACCUAGCGCCGAUUCCGACACCCGGUGACUGUUGGCCGUCGUGUUCUCGGACAGACCCCCUUUUCGAACGAAAACCGAUCUGCGACGCUAUAGCUUUGGGUAAUUUCAGGACCCGUCUUGAAACACGGACCAAGGAGUCUAGCAUGUACGCGAGUCAUUGGGAACCGAUAAACCUAAAGGCGAAAUGAAAGUGAAGAUCUUCCUCGCGAAGAUCGAGGGAAGAGGAGCGGUAUCGUCUCAAAAACGAUCCGUUUCGCAUUCCCGGGGCGUCUCGUUCUCAUUGCGAGAUGAGGCGCACCAAGAGCGUACACGCUGGGACCCGAAAGAUGGUGAACUAUGCCUGGUCAGGAUGAAGUCAGGGGAAACCCUGAUGGAGGUCCGUAGCGAUUCUGACGUGCAAAUCGAUCGUCGGAACUGGGUAUAGGGGCGAAAGACUAAUCGAACCAUC
rnacentral:rRNA from 1 species